AACUGUCAGGCUAGAGUGCAGGAGAGGAAGGUAGAAUUCCCGGUGUAGCGGUGAAAUGCGUAGAGAUCGGGAGGAAUACCAGUGGCGAAGGCGGCCUUCUGGACUGACACUGACGCUGAGGUGCGAAAGCGUGGGUAGCAAACAGGAUUAGAUACCCUGGUAGUCCACGCCGUAAACGAUGUCGACUAGCCGUUGGGGUCCUUGAGACCUUUGUGGCGCAGUUAACGCGAUAAGUCGACCGCCUGGGGAGUACGGCCGCAAGGUUAAAACUCAAAUGAAUUGACGGGGGCCCGCACAAGCGGUGGAGCAUGUGGUUUAAUUCGAUGCAACGCGAAGAACCUUACCUACCCUUGACAUCCUCGGAAGCCUGAAGAGAUUCGGGUGUGCCUUCGGGAGCCGAGUGACAGGUGCUGCAUGGCCGUCGUCAGCUCGUGUUGUGAAAUGUUGGGUUAAGUCCCGUAACGKGCGCAACCCUUGUCCCUAUUUGCCAGCGAUUCGGUCGGGAACUCUAGGGAGACUGCCGGUGACAAACCGGAGGAAGGUGGGGACGACGUCAGGUCAUCAUGGCCCUUACGGGUAGGGCUACACACGUGCUACAAUGGUCGGUACAAAGGGUUGCGAGUUCGCGAGGACGAGCUAAUCCCGAAAAGCCGAUCUCAGUCCGGAUCGGAGUCUGCAACUCGACUCCGUGAAGUCGGAAUCGCUAGUAAUCGUGAAUCAGAAUGUCACGGUGAAUACGUUCCCGGGCCUUGUACACACCGCCCGUCACACCAUGGGAGUGGACUGCACCAGAAGUGGUUAGCCUAACCUUCGGGAGGGCGAUCACCACGGUGUGUUCAUGACUGGGGUGAAGUCGUAACA
rnacentral:rRNA from 1 species